rnacentral:rRNA from 1 species
AUUGAACGCUGGCGGCAUGCUUUACACAUGCGAGUCGAACGGCAGCGCGGGCUUCGGCCUGGCGGCGAGUGGCGAACGGGUGAGUAAUGCAUCGGAACGUGCCCAGUAGUGGGGGAUUGCCCGGCGAAAGCCGGAUUAAUACCGCAUACGACCUGAGGGUGAAAGCGGGGGACCGAAAGGCCUCGCGCUAUUGGAGCGGCCGACGUCGGAUUAGCUAGUUGGUGGGGUAAAGGCUUACCAAGGCGACGAUCCGUAGCUGGUCUGAGAGGACGACCCGCCACACUGGGACUGAGACACGGCCCAGACUCCUACGGGAGGCAGCAGUGGGGAAUUUUGGACAAUGGGGGCAACCCUGAUCCAGCCAUGCCGCGUGCGGGAAGAAGGCCUUCGGGUUGUAAACCGCUUUUGUUCGGGAAGAAAUCCUCUGGGCUAAUACCCCGGGGGGAUGACGGUACCGGAAGAAUAAGCACCGGCUAACUACGUG